AUGCGAUGGCCGUGCUCGUGGCUACCACGUCCUCCUCGAGUACCUCUCCCCGUCCGACCUCGCCCGCGUCCCCGCCUCGGGGAGGCUCGUGACCGCGCUCUUCCAGACCACCAGCCGCGCGGCCUCCGACCUCGGCGUCGUCAACCUCACGGCCGCAGGCUCCGCCAUCGUCGUCCGUUCCCCCGCGCUGUCGGCUCCCGGGUCGAACGCCACCGACCUCGGCGCCGUCACCAGGGAGCCGUACAACACCAGCGUGCUCGCCGUGGGCUGCCUCAUCGUGCCCUCCGGCUUCGACACCACCGCGUCCGGCUCCGAGAGCCGCCCGUCCCCCGUGGUCAACAUCACCGACGCGCGCGGGUUCAACGUGGCCGCCUCCAUGCUCGAGGCCUCUGGCGUGGCGGACGACUUCGAGGCCGAAGAGCGGGGCGCCGGCAUCACCAUCUUCGUCCCCACCGACGACGCGUUCGUGGCCCUCCCCGCCACCGACCGCCUCCAGUCCCUCCCCUCCGACUGCAAGGCCGUGGUGCUGCACUCCUACCACCCGCUCGGGUCCCUCAGUCCAUUGUGAACCCCGUCCAGCCCACGCUCGCCACCGAGUGCAAUGAGGCCGGCCGCUUCAUGCUCAAUAUCACGCGCUUCAACGGCUCCGUCGCGAUCGACACCGGCGUCGUGCAGGCGUCCCACACCUGCACGGUGUUCGACCAAAAUCCCGUGGCGAUCUUCGCCGUCUCCAAGGUCCUGCUGCCCAAGGAAAUGUUCGGCCGCGGGAAUACCGCAAGCCCGAGAGCUGCGGCGCCUCCGGCGACCAUGACGCCAGACCUCUCCGAUGGCCUGCGAACGCCGCCGACGAAGCUGUCGUCCCCGCCGGCCCUGCGUGGCCAGGACAACUAG
rnacentral:rRNA from 1 species